rnacentral:piRNA from 1 species
GAGACAAUUUAUGUAGCACAGGCU